CGUUGUACGUUGGUGAUCGUGGGAGCCAGUAGUGUGCGUACUAGCGUUCGUGUUCCUCGCUGGAGAGCAGUGCGUUUUGUCACUCUCGCAGGAUCGCAACGGUGCACCAUUACUCGUUCCGAGUCGUCCAAGGGACAAUCUUGAUCAGGUUCUCCCGCGGUCAGAUUCGUCAUUUUGUGAAGUUAUCCGCGGAUACUUCGUGCGAUCCAAUUUGAAAUGGCGUUUGAUUCGCCGCGCAAACGACGCCUCUCCAGUGCCAGUGACGCCUAGUGCGACCGAGGGACACGCUAGCCGAUCAAUCCGUCCGAUCGCGUUUCUCCUACCGCUGUACGGCCUCGUUGCUGUUACGGGGUAAAAUCAUAUUUGGAAAAUGAGGAUUCGUCGGUGAGCCAUCCCCCUCGGUGCAACGGUCCCAACGAAACGAUCCGGAUCGAACUGGUUCCACGGACAAUCACAGGGUGCGAUGCGACGACGCAAACUGUCCUUCUUCCCCGUGGACCACGGGCCCGCGUUUUAACGUGGCGCUGCGAACGCAGGCGAAAAACAGCGAUGAACUUUCGCGGAGACUCGAUUCGUACGGCGGACCGUCCUGUCGCGUGUUGUUCUUGUGGUUGGUGCGCGUGUCCGCGCGGAGUGCCGUUCCGAGGGUGAAACGAGCGCGAUGAGAACGCCGACAAGAGUAACGAGGAUGGACGAAUUCGUGAAAUAGCCCGGUGGAGAGCGAGCGAGCCACGCCGUGUGCCGUGCCGUGCCGCACACCACGCCACGCUACGCCACGCCACGCCACGCCACGCCACGCCGCGCUUCACAGCUGCAGCUGCAAAACGAAAAUGUCGUGGGCCAGGAUAGCCAGUGCCGCUCAACUCGUGGCCGCAGUGGCUGUCAUCCUGCGGAUACUGCUCGCGUCCGCCGAUCCAAUCGCGUACACGGACGAGCUGACGUACGAGCAGACCACCUACACGGUGCCUGUCUCCUCAACGGAGAACGACAGCGACGUUUAUCGAGUGCCAACGAAACCAUUGAACCUGUCGUCGCACGGCAUCACCUCCACCACCAUCGAAUUGUCAUGGGCCGAGCCGGACUACGCCAAUGGCAUCAUUUCCGGUUAUCGCAUUUACUAUAUGCAUUCCAAUUACACAGACGUGCAAAUGUACAGGACCGGCGAGUACGAUGGACCGGUCAUCGAAUUCGUUUUAAAGGAACUGGAACCGUACAUCGAAUACAAGAUAUGGGUGAAGGCUUACACGUGGAAGAACGAGGGCGAGCCCUCGGAUCACAUCAUUCGUCGGACAGACAUCUCAGGACCCAGCGCGCCGUUGAUCUUGAACGUUACCUGCCCGACCCACGACUCCGUGUACAUCCAAUGGGCCAGGCCAAACAUCUUCUGGGGCUCGAUCGACUACUACUUCAUCAAUUAUCGGAUCGAGAACGACAAUCGAUUCGAGGAGAUCGAAGUGAUGACGGAAAAGAAUCACCUUGAGAGCGCGAUGAUCAUACCGAACCUGACGAUGAACAGCGUGUACGAGAUCGUGGUGCGCGGAGGCACGCGAAGCGCUAUCGACAAGAGGCUGGUGAUACGCGGAGAAGGCUCUGCUCCGCAGAAGGUGCGCGGUAUUCGCGAUUGCAACAGAGCACCGCCGUUAUUGCCACACAGCACCAUAUGGUUCAGCAGCGGAGUGAUUGCCGGGGUGAUUUGCGCUUGUCUAGCCGUGAUGCUGAUGAUCACGUCCUUCGUCCUAUGGAAGCCUUGCCUGAGGCCAAUUUUCAGGAAAUGCUUCCACACCGCGUACUACUUCCUCGACUAUCCGCCCCGCAAUGUGCCCACCCUUCAGGAAUGGGAGAACAGCGAGCAGGACGGGGAACGUACCGCGGUCGCCAUUCAGAAGUUUGUACAGCACGUCGCGAGCCUACAUGCGGAUGGGGACAUCGGGUUCAGCAAGGAAUACGAGUUCAUUCAAUCGGAGAGCGACAAGUUCACCGCGGAGAAUUCCCAAUAUGUUGAGAACAAAGCGAAGAAUCGAUACCUCAACAUACUGGCCUACGACCAUACACGAGUGCAAUUGUUAUCAUGCGGCGGAGGACCACCGAAGAAGGGUCACGAUUAUGUGAACGCGAAUUACAUCGACGGUUGGCAACGUUCGCGGGCUUACAUUGGUACACAGGGCCCAUUGCCACCGACUUUCGAUGGAUUCUGGCGUAUGGUGUGGGAACAGAGGGUAUCGAUCGUUGUCAUGAUCACCAAUCUCGUUGAACGUGGUCGUAAAAAAUGUGAUAUGUAUUGGCCUAAGAAGGGAUCCGAGACCUAUGGGUACAUUCAAGUGACUCUGCUAAGAGAGGAUGUUAUGGCUACGUACACCAUUCGUACUCUUCAAAUUCGUCACAUCAAGGUCAAGAAGAGGAAGAACGGUGUCAACAUGGGAGAACGUAUAAUUUGGCAGUACCAUUAUACUGGAUGGCCCGACCAUGGAGUACCGGAACAUCCGUUGCCGGUUCUGAGCUUUAUCCGGAAAUCUUCCAAUGCCAAUCCUCCGGAUGGAGGACCAAUCGUUGUCCACUGCAGCGCUGGCGUCGGGCGUACAGGUACCUACAUUGUUAUUGACGCCAUGUUGAAGCAGGCCAAGUGCAAGAACGAAGUAAACGUAUUUGGGUUCUUAAAGCACAUUCGCACACAGCGAAACUUCUUAGUUCAGACCGAGGAACAGUACGUGUUCAUUCACCAUGCUUUGCAAGAGGCUAUCGAAAGCGGUGAAACUAACAUCGAGGCAAACAGCCUACUAGAGUAUGUUCAGGACAUGUUGAAUCCCAAUAAUACCAAUACCGAUGCGUGGAACAACCUUGAAGCUCAGUACAAGCUGGUGACUUCGUGGAAACCGAAAGAGUUCAACCUCGUGUCUGCGAUUAAACCGUGCAAUCUGCACAAGAAUCGUAAUCAAGAUGUCAUUUCGAUCGAAACAGCUCGCGUUCACUUGACGCCGAAGCCCGGAAUCGAUGGAAGCGACUAUAUCAACGCUACAUGGAUUGCUGGCUUCCAUCGCAAUCGCGAGUUCAUCAUCACGCAACAUCCAAUGGAAAAUACAAUCAUGGAGUUCUGGCAGAUGAUGUGGGAUUACAAUGCACAAACUGUAGUCAUGUUAACCGAAUGUGACAAGGAGUAUCCCGAAUUUUGGCCUACCGAGGGUAAAGAUCUAGAGUCGGAGACCUUCCGUGUACGAUCUUGUGGAAUCAAAGAAACCGCGAGCGGAAUGAUCUUGCGCGAAGUCGCGGUCCGAUCUCUACAAGACGAUUACGAAUUAAGUGCCAAAAUCGUCCAAGGACCACGAUCUCAGCCUGGCUUUUGGCCACAUAACACCAACCCGCGACCCCUCGUAACUUUGAUCCAUGACUUACAUCGGGACUACCAAAACGGCCCUAUUGUUGUGAUGGAUAGGUUUGGCGGUGUCGAGGCUGCAAUCUUUAUUCUGCUUACAACAUUGAACAAACAGCUGGAGUUCGAGAAGAGUGCCGAUAUCUACAUGUUCGCAAAAUUACUGUACAUGAAACGGCCUGGAGUCUUUCGAUCAAAGGAGGAUUACGCGCUGUUGUACCAAUGUUUGGAAACCAUGCUGUCGUCAAAGAGUCACGACGAACCGGAUCUCUAUUCGAUGGCUAACGGUCACGUGUCCACGAUAACGGAUCCCGCCGACGAAGCCACCUCAUCGAUGCAACACAUGCAGAUGGAUUACUCUCCCAAGCCAUCCAUGAUGAGAGAAUACGCAACGGUGGAAGUGAACUCUAUGUCCGAUUACUCUAUCUCGAUCCGAGUGGACCAUUCGAUGGAACCGUGUAGUAGCAGAAGCAGCGAGAGCUGUAUGUUCACUCACGCGGGAAACGAGCACGAGAAGAACAUCGUUAUGACCCAUCGGAACGUAAGCUAUCACAAUCAUCCGGGCAGCGUCUCUGUCAUCGUUGACGCGAACGGUUACGUGACGAAUGGCAGCAUGCGUAUGAGACCCGAGGGCAUGGAGUCGAGCUGCAAGAUGUUGCCUCAAUGAUGCCUGCCGAUCUUCGGUUGCAGUGUUUCCUCGAGCCGGUCUGAGCCGCUGUAACCGAUCGAGCUCCUCACUGCCCGAAGUGUAAUCCUGAUUCUGCCACAGCGCAAGGAGUUCCAGAUUGGACACGUCUUCGCACAAACGGAAGAACGGCGAUUCGAUCCUAGGAUCAGCCUAAAGAGGACUCUCGAGCAUCUUUAGUGUAAAUAAUUAGUCGCGUUAGUUUGCACGCGUGUACGUAUAUGCUCUUGAGAACGUCGACUGACCGAGGGUAUGCGUACACGCGGUAUAGGAAAAAAGAAAGAAAAAUGGGGGUCCUGUUUCCGGUGUUGCUGGGUGCCAAAAACCACUUGUUAACGCACGCCACCCUGGACCUUCGUUUAACGUUGUUCAUCGUGUAAGUGUACACUUCUCGUUUUUGUAUAUACACACGUCGAGACACAUUCACUCGCAUACGUGCACACUUAUACAUAACCUCACUCACGGACACAUGUACACGCACCUCAUUUAUGACCACACGUCCAUACACACACACACACACACACACACAUGCGCACGUAUAUGGAUAUGUACGUGUAGUACCUUUAAGUUGGAUCACUCGACCACUUCUUUACCAAAGAAUCGUUUAUAUUCGUUCUCGUUUCGUUUUAAGUCCCUUCUUUCCAUGGUUUUAUCGUUCAGCUCAAGACCGACCAAUCGAAUUCGCAAUGUCGUGCACGCGUUCUGAUCGAGAACACGUACCGUCUUUUCGUGACAUACAAUUAGGGGGAAGAUGGCGCCGAUGAAAAAUUUGACGUAUUUAGUUCACGAAGAACUUUCUCCAACCUCUCUUCAUCCCUCUGUCUCUUUUCGCCGCAGCGAGCAUGCAAUGCCACAAGGAAUUGAGGAUCCAAACGUUCGUAAACGCGUCAUCGUGCGUCGAUUCGAUUCUUUCGAAGUUGUUCGAAGAAAAUAUGCAGCGGAAUGCAGGGAACGAUAUUUAACGAACGGAAAAGGGAAUUACGCGAGAAUCACGCGAAUAGGACGCGAUCAAAGUCGUGCAGACGAGGGUAUUCGAUGAUUAAUCGUGAUCGAUGAGAAUGGUAAUAAACCGUGACGAAUCGCAACUCGAUCGCUGUAAAUUAACUCGAUGGAACGUAGCUAACUGCCAAUGAGCGCGCGAAACCUGUUGCGCGAGCAUGUCGCGUCUGCGCGCGCACGUAAGGGAGAGAGAGAGAGAGAAAGAGAUUGCGAGCAAACGUGGUCUAUCUAACCUCUCGAUCUAAUUAAUUAAUGUCGUGAUCCAUUUCUAACGUGUAAGAUUCGAAUUAAGCGAAACGCGAAAAAUGUCCCGCGUGUAACUAGAAUUUUCUUCUCACGAUUACGAACCGCCAAGUUUCGUUGUCCCACGUGAUUUCCGCCAUGACCGACCGAGCAUUCGAGUCGCGACAGAAGAACAAGGAGAAAGCUACGGCGACGACAAUCUGAAGCGUUCGAUAAUUAACGAAAUUAAUACCCAAUCGCAGAACCUGCGCUCGGUGAUAUCAGGGAUAACCUUGAUCGGUGUAUAUCAACGAUAAAGCGGCUUAUAGAAUAACGCUGAUCAGAAUGUGAUCCAACGAGACUUUAUUGUGAUAUAAAAGAAAAAAGGGAAAAAAAAGGGAAAUACAAUUCGACACUGUUGUACCGUUUAUUCUAGCCACGAGUUCCUUUGCCGCGCGAUCAUUUUUCUAUCGAAUCUACCAUCCGGAAGACUGUUCUUUCAUCUAAGAUUCUUAUAUACACUUGUACGUACGAUAAGUCAGUAUACUUUACGUAACGCGAAAACGAAAACUGCCUGUGAACCGCGACACCUUCGAUCCAUCCUCUAUACGUGUUUUUCUACCAUCUUGUAUACGUUGUGACUAAAUCGCCGACGAAUGAUCAAUCGUCCCUCGUUUUUACCUUUUACUACCGUUUAACGAUCGACGACGUGGAAGAUUUAACGACAAAAAAAAGAAAAGACAUGAAAAAAUUUCAAAAAAAAAAAAAAAAAAAAGGAAAAAAAAUAUAUGUGUGUGCAUGUAUGUAACCGUGUCCGUGUUAAUAAGACGUAUGUAACCGUAAUCCACGACUGAACGACCUUUUAAACUCGUUAUCGGUUUUAACUCGAUGUCGAUGUAGCCUACUUUAAACGUAAAAGAAAACCGUGUGCUUCUUCCUUCGGGCUGAUCGACGCGAUGGAACGAGGAAUCAAGGUCUCGUUUCACAGCGAAAUAAUCAUUAUCGUUCUUAUCACCGUUUUUAACAUUCGACGAUACUCGGCACACCUUUAUCGAAAAAACUCCAAACGUUGAUCAGCGCGUUUCGAAAGCAGUUCGUGAAGGAUCCCGAAGGAAGAUUAUAAAACUUAGGUGUAGUUCGCGUGUCGGAAAGAUAGAGGGCAAAUACCCAGGCGAAGUUGUUGCGGUUUCGUUGGGUCGGCGGAGGAUCGGCAAAGCUGUAUUUCUUGCUAACUUUCGGACACGUCGGCGAAGCUAAGAAACGCGAUAACGAAGCGAUGAAAAGAGGGAGGGGGCGAAGGAGACACGCCAAGAAAAAUUAGGAAAGAAAAAAAAGAAAAAGUAUGAAAACGAAAAUAAAAUAGAAAAAAAAACGCGGGAAAGGCACGACAGAUGGGACAUUCGAUCUCUCGAUCUUUGGCUUUCUUGCCCUCUGUUCCACCAGAACGUACACUUUCGUUCAGCGAAUUCGAUCGUGGACACACGUUCGUGUCUUUCAUCGACACGACACUCGCGUGCAUCGUUUCGAUAGACGAAGGAACGUUGGUCGAUGAUUCAGUAACUAAGCGAGCGUGACCGCUUUGGAGCCUUACGACGAAGGCUUCUGACGAAUCAGAGAAACCGAGCCGACGUCCAGCAUCGAGCGCACAGCGUUCGCAUAGACCAAGGAGCUCGUUCGGUUCCCUCUCUUGCCGAUAAUCGCGAAUUUUUCACGAAUCUCGACGGAGAUUUCAUUACAAAAACCGGUGGAUACACGCUUCGUGGAGAGGGAACGAACGGCGGUGUUAGGGUCUGUUGCGUAUUAGCCGAUAAAAGAGUAGCAGGAUACGCGAGUAGCUCGAGCUGGACAGAAACAA
rnacentral:misc_RNA from 1 species